rnacentral:lncRNA from 1 species
GUUUCAGAGAGGAAGUACAUGCUUCCACUUGCUGCUGCCCUGAAUGAAGGUCAAACUUGUUAACUAAGUUCUUCCAUGAUCAGAGUCUGGGCCGCUGGAGGAUGAAGUUAUGAGCCGAUAUAUCUGGAAGCAGUGGCGCAGACCUCGGAAUGGACCCGUGGAACAGUUAAAGGGCUGACUGCAGCCUGCCAUCUGUGCACAACCAGAAGCGUGAGCUCUCCAGAGAUCAGAGCCAGACGGUGGAAACCGCAGCAGCAGGAUCGAAUGUGUACACCCAGUUCCCCCCUCCUGCUGCAGGAGUCUCUGUGGAG